rnacentral:sRNA from 1 species
CAAAUUCACUCGUUUUUGUGUCAAACAUGUUAAGCGUCAUGGAUAAUGUUAGCAUGAGCUUAAACCAGGGUACGCCACGCGUAUUGCAAAUUUACAUGAAUGAUCUAUUUGGAAAUGAUUUCAAUAGCAUCUUCAAGUUGAUCCCCGACUUCUUCCAAAGAAUACAUGAAGAAGAACACGACAACCAUGUACGAUGUUUUAUUCAUGCAACACCUGGAAGCUUCUAUGGAAGGCUUUUUCCUGAUGAUUACAUCCACUUCUUUCAUUCUUCUUACAGUCUCCACUGGCUAUCUCAGGCACCGACUUCCACCAGCAUAGCCGAACCACUAAACAAGGGAAAUAUUUAUAUAACAAAUGAAAACAGUCCUUCAGUCUAUGAAGCAUACACGAAACAAUUUGAAAAGGAUUUCAAACAUUUUCUUAAAUCACGCUCGGAUGAACUAAGGUCGGGUGGUAUCAUGUUACUUACGUUCAUUGGUAGAGAAAAAUCUCAAAACAUGACUAGUCCAUGGGGUAUAAUUGGUAUGGUACUCAACGACAUGGUCCAAGAGGGUUUGGUUGAAAGGGCAAAAUUGGACUUUUUUGAUCUUCCUAUUUAUGGUCCAACUCCUGAAGAAGUUAGACAAGUGAUUGAAGAAGAAGGAUCUUUUAGGCUUAUAACAUUGAAGACUGUUAAAAUAGGUUGGG